UGAUUGGCAUGAUUCAAGAGUCAACACCCCGUUAAUUGCUUUUGUUACUCUGGACAUCAAGAGAUCAAGGGCUUCUAAAUUUGUUGAAAGUAGGAUUUAAAAAUGAAGAUACGACAUGAAAAAAGAUGGUAGUGGUGGGUAUGGAGGAGGAUGCCACUGACUCAUAUAUGCUCAAGAGCUUCACUAGAGAAAUUUCUCCCAGGCUGAGGAACUUGCUGAUGAGGAAGCCCUUUUACUCCUCCCUCUUGACUCUCUGUCACCAUUUUCUUCUCUUUCAUAUCAUCCUUGAUCCCCGCAUCACCCACAACAGGUGGCUCGUCCACCACUCCUUUAACUUCUUUUAUCACUUUCUUUGGCUCUUUGUUACGGUUCAUGGCUUCCUUGUCUCUCCUGGACUCCAUUGCCAAUAUCCCAACUUCGAACUGAUUGUUUUCCUUCCUCCGAUUCUAGUUAAGAAACAAUCUUAAUUUUGCCUCGUCUCUCCUUUCAGCUUUUUCUUUGUGUUUGUUGGUUUUCUUCUAAAUCUUAUAUUAGGUAUGCGGUGCUUUUUCUUUGUUGUUACAUAUGAAGCUGUUGAUGGUAGCAUUUAAUGGUGCAACCUCUUAGUGAAGUGAGGAGAUACUAAUCAAAUUUGCUCGAGUUAUCAAGUUGAGCUGGAGAAGUGGUGUCUCACCCAGAAGGUGAUGUCUGUGUUUGUGGGUUGGCAGUAGUAUAUACCUUAUCUCUAUAAUUUUAACCGUUUGCUGCAAAAAAAAAACUUUUGACCACAAAAAAUAAAUAGAAACAUAAUUGAUUUCUAUACUUUUAUCUCAUACCAUUAUAGAAUUCUCAGCAUGUUUAUCUGUUUUGCUGUCUCUGCAAGAAAGCAGCAUGUGUCUUGUUGAAACACACGGCAAUCUUGCCGCAUGACAUGUUGCUUUAAUUUUUUUUUUUUUGAGGCCGAUCAUGUUUCUUUACUAGAAAGUCUUUUGGUAUAAUCUUCAGAAAA